GUCCAUUCGGAGACAUCCAAUAAAUUGAAACGAUAUAGAGAAAAUUAGCAUGUCUCAUGCACAAGAUGACAUGGAUAAAUAUAGAAAUAUACUAUUAUUAG